CAAAAAUUAGAAUUGUUUCCCUAAUUCAGAAAUAAACCCCUAGAGAAAACCCACGUAAGUUUUUCCCUCUUUGCCUCCAAAUUUUUCACCCAAUAAUUCCCUCUUUAAUUCUGCCGUUCCUCGCUAGUCGACUCCGCCCGGCGCCCUUCUGCCGAGUGCCGACUACAGCUCUUCUUCAACUCUUCUGCUCUUGACUGCUGGAGGAUGGUUCGAUUUGGAGAGCGAAGUCGUUUGGUGCUUCUAGAACGGCGGAACCCAAGUUGGUGAAGUGGUUUUCAACACAUCAUUAACCGGGUAAAAAUUAAGAAUUUACUAUGAAUUUAUUUCCACUGUGUUCGUGAUUUGUGAAUAAUGUUGGCUGAUAAAGAAUUUUUAUCCAACAGAUUCAUUUAUCAUUUCUAGUCCACAAAUUGAAAUUGGAAAGAAGGUGGGAUCAGGCUCAUGGUCUCAAGGUGAUUGAUAGAAGUCCCGAGAGACUUCUUGCAUUUGAUUCUUCCAUUUUUUGUGUAAUGGUCAGGUUAUCUUGGGUGUGUAAUUGAUAUCUGAAUGGAUCACUUUGUGCAGAAUGGCUCAAUAAGGCUAUUAUGGGUGUAGGUGUCUUAACUAUAAUGAACCACAAAAAUUUUUAGUGUUUUUGAUUUUGAUUCCUCGAUCUACUUUUAUACUUCAUUACUUCAUUUCUUGAGAUUUCUGGGUUAUGGUUUCUGGCCUUAGUGUUAGUGGGUUAACAUGUUUCACAUUGGAAAUCUUAUUUAAGAAGCCAAUUUUGUGUUUAUGGAAGCCGUUAGGCCCGUUACUUAUAUUAGUGUUCCUGUUGGCACUUGGCAUCUAUAUACUAUUGCAAUGGAGUUGAAAUUUACUGAAAUCUGCAGAAGUCUUUUGGCUGGGAAUAGUGAAGAAAAUUCACCAAUUGAAAACUAUGCAUUUUAAUUAUAUGUAUGUCAGAAGGUGGUUUUGUUGAAAGGCUUGAAAGUGGAGUAAAUUUCGUCUUCGUGAAUAAAAUUAAUUCAAUUACUCUCCCACUGUAAACUAUUUCUACCUAGAGAUAAAAUCCAUGGGCGAAAUCACUAAAGCGCAAAGGCAGACAUAAAGUUUUCCUUCAAGUGUAUAAAAUUUAAAAUAUCUUUAAAAGAUAUGUUUGGGGGCACAAAUUAAAAUUGGCUUUGUUCGGUAAACUAAAAAUAAGGAAAACUCAAAACCAGCUGUUAUUUAUUUCCCCCAUUUUCCUUUUACUCUUUGACAUAUAUUGCAUGAACAUUAUUUAUUAUCUUUAAAUGUAAUAUGCUGCAUGGUAGAGUUUAUAUAUGUAAAUAGAGAGUUAGUCCCCAACUUUUGAAAUAGAACAUUUUGGCCCUCAAUAUUCCAUUAAUAUUGCAAAAUUAUUUUUAGUUGAUAGAAA
rnacentral:lncRNA from 1 species